rnacentral:rRNA from 1 species
AUGGAGGCCAUUGCGUUUGGUGCCUUCUUCAAUACCAUCUUGCCCAAGCUUCGGGAAAAGCUUAAAGACUCUAAGCGAGACAAGAUUGCCAUCAACGCUAACAUUCAAGAUUUCAAGAGUGAGGCUGAAGCGGUGCAAUCACAACUUGAAGAUGGCUACUCCCGGCAAGAAGGUGACAAAGCCAGGCUGAUGAGGAUCGAUCGGCGACUCAAACUCUUGUGUCAAGAUACGCAGGACUGCAUACACCAGUUCCUGCAAAAGCAAAAGGGAUCUAUGGAGAGCUGCACCGAGUUCGCAACCAAGAUCCAGGGAUUCAACGACAAUGUCCAGAAGCUACACGAGGAAGUCAAGACAUGCAUCGCUUCACGAAAAGGGCCACGCCAACCUUCUGAGCGGUAUGUUCCUUCCGACAAGGCCGUGGGCAUGUUGGAGCGCCUCGCUGAGCUGCAGGAGCUUGUACAGCUAACCGGCAGGCAAGAGGCGCCCAAGGUGAUCUCCAUCGUUGGCUUCAGUGGCCUAGGCAAGACCCUUCUUGCCAAACAAUUCUAUUCCAGUGAAGCCGGCAUGAAAUUUCCUCAUCGGGCAUGGGUUCCUUCGGCUGGCACCCAUGAGGAGGUUGUCAAGAACAUACUCCUGGAUAUUGACCCUCAAGGCAACCAUGACGAGGAUGCCAUGGACCUCCAGCGCCUCUGCGUCAGCCUGCAGGAUUUCCUAAGGGGCAAAGAGUACUUAAUUGUACUCGAUGACAUGAAGAGUUGGGAGAUGUGGAACAAAAUAAAAUAUGCCUUCGAGAGUGUGAAAGGCAUAGUCCUUGUAACAACGACCAUUCUGGCAGUAGCUAAUGCUUGCAGCCAAUGCAUUAACGGUUAUGUGUACAAGCUGUCACCCCUUGAUGAGAAUGAGUCUGUAAACCUGUUCAACAAAGAAUGUUAUUCGGGGGAUACUGAUUAUGCAGCAGACAUAUUGAAGAAAUGUGAUGGUCUACCACUUGCUAUAGUCAGCGUGGCCAAUUAUUUGCAGAGUGAGGGACCGUUGACAGGCGCUAGAUGUAAAGAUGCUUGCAACAAACUUGGUGCUCUUCUGGUACAAGACAAUGGUUGCAAGUUACCAGAAAUGCAAUGGGUGCUUAUGAAUAAAUAUACUGGUCUGCCUGGUCAUGCUAUCAGAUCCUGCUUGCUAUAUUUUUCCAUGUACAAGGGAAACAUGGAUGCACUCCCCAGGAGGAAUUCCCUGAUAAGGCGAUGGCAAGCUGAAGGGUUUGUUGAUGGGAAAACUGGAUAUGAAUAUUUGAAGACCCUCAUCAACCGCAACAUCAUUCAGUCCAUGGAAGUAAACACAGACGGAACAACAAAGAGAUGCCGACCCCCAGGAAUGAUGUCCGAGUACAUUUCCCAGAUUUCCAUGUCCGAGAAUUUCGCUGCUUUGGUGUCUGAUCAAGUGGAGAUGGGAAAAAAUCGCAUCCUCAGGCUUUAUUUCGAUGAUGGCAGUGCUGAAGAUGACAUACGCAUUUCGCGCAUGGAUUUAACUUUACGUAUUGUCCUGACUCUGGCAAUUUCAGGAAUUGCAUGCAAAGCUAUUUUAAAAUUUGAACAGUAUGUGCAACUGGUAGUUUUGGAUCUGAAAGAAUGUACAAAUCUGGAUGAUAAUCAUGUCGAAGCUAUAUGCAAGCUGUUGCUGCUGAAAUAUUUGAGCCUCGGGAAGACUAUAGGGAACAUACCAAGGGCCAUUGGCAAACUGGAACUGUUAGAGACGCUCGAGAUGAGGACAAACAAAACAGUAAAGGUGUUUAAAGAAGUUCUCCUGCUACCCAACUUAAUACACCUCCUUGGAAAUUUUGUGCUUAGAAUGACACCGGAUGAUGAUCUAUAUAAUUUCUUGGAGAAAAAGAGUGUCUUAGAGACGAUUACAGCACACGUCAGCCAAACUGCAAAAGGAUUUCCGGAUCUGAUGCUUCAUAUGAGUCAGUUGAGGAAGGUGAAAAUAUUUUGCACUGGAGGAGCAGAUGUCACGGACAAGGAAGUUCUGACAACGGCGAUCAAGAAAUUCAUUCAAAGAGGCACGUAUAAUGUUAAUGGUGGCCACAGUCCUUCUCUAUCAAUAGACUUCGAUAACUGCACGUCCAUUGUUCGGGAAUGUCUAUUAGGUCCUGGCAGUCUGACCUCACUCAAAUUGCACGGCAAAUGGACACCAUUUGUGGGUGCUAAUCCAGAUUUUACAAAGAUAUCUGGUAUUACCAAGCUGUGUCUUUCACACACUUACCUGAGCGGGAAUAAAGUCCUUGCUGGAUGA